AAAAAACUAUAACUGGGAAUUUUUUAAAUGCAAUCCCUCGAUCGCAGGAGGACGAAAAACGGUGGGUGCCAACUUACACACUACCUCAAUUGCCCCGUUCUCCCCUAUGGCCCGGUGUCCCAAAUGGGUUUGGUCUCACCUAGAAUGCGUCUUGUUUCCGUACAAAAUUUUGUUAUUCAUAAAAAAUGAAUGAUUUUUGCGUAAAUAAUCAAAAGGGGUUAUUUUAUCGUUAAAAUAUGUAAAUUCUUGAAGAACUUAUUCCAUUAAUUUUGAGGAUGCUCUUUGUAACGAUAAAAUACGGUUCAAGAAUGAAGAAUAUGAGAAAAAUAUAGACGCAAUUAAUUUGCAUUAAAUACGCAUAUGUAGAACGGUUUCGCUGCAAUGAUCAAUUGCAUUUUUAAGGCGCGUUUUAAAAACCAAAUACGGUAUGACAUGAUGUAAAAAAUCGUUCGUUAUAACCGUAUUUUUAAGCUCUUUAUUUGCAUUUAACAAGCAAUCUCCCACUCAACCGGACCGAAAUACCCCCUUUUUCCGGAGGUCGUAUUCGGAUCGUAAUCUGGAAAGGGAAUCUAAAAAAAGGACUAGGUCUAUUCUGCUCAGAAUCGCAAGGCGAUUCCAACGGAAUAAAGUCGGGAUUUUUAUCUUGUUUUGUUCCCGAGAUAAUCGGGAUUGAAAAUCGUGAAAAAUCACGAAGACCCAAAGUCUCCCCCUCAAACUACAUCGCUUUUAGCCGUAUAUUCAGCUCUUAAAAAAACUAAUUCAUACAAAAUGUAGCCCUUUCAUCCCUCUUUCAGAAUUCAAAAUGAUUUUUGUUAAUUCGUUGAGAUGUCUGAGCUAUCACGAUUUUUGUGAUAUGGGGGAUUUCGACACAUUUUUCAGGCAUUUUAUUCGGCGUUGCCGAUUGCCGUAUAUGUGCUUUUCGCUCCCUUUUCUGUCCACUACUUCAAUUUUUCCCUGUUUCCUAUGUAUCAAGGACUUGAAGAUCGAUACAGAUGGGACUUGAUACAUAGGAAACAAUGAAAAGAGCGAAGGAGUGGGGGCGAACUCACAUAUACGGAGAUUAUCCAGGAAUUGCAUUUGUUUUCCUUUCUCUCAUGCUUCUCGGCCAACUUGGAGAAGCAACUAUAAUGUGUCUCGAUGCCACAUUUCAUGCAGUUCCGGGAAUUUUCCCCCAGCUACCAACGAUCCAUUUGAUAGCAUAUAACAAGGCGUUUCCAAGUGUAUUGGUGUUAAUGACAAGGAAGACACGACUUCUCUACACUGCCGUUAUGCGAUUAAUUCUCCGUGUGUAUCAAGACCGGAUUUGGACGCCCAAAUAACAAUAACAGACGUAGUUUCAGAUUACGAGCUUGCCAUUAUGGGAGCUGUCCCGGAUGUCAUCCUGGAAGCGGAAUCAAGGGGAUAUUGGAUCCAUUAAGGGCAGGCCAUAAUAAAGAAAACAGGGGAUCUUGGCCUCAACAUAAUCUACCGGAAUGGUGGCGUUGUAGCCCAUAUAGUCCAAGAAAUUAUCGGCCUUGCUCUUUUACCUCCAAAUAGAAUCUACGAAGGUUUUGAAGAUAUACGGCGUAGUCAUCGUCGGCGUUUGCUGCGAGAAUCUUGAGAAACUCAACACGCGAUUGCCGAACUCUACGCCUACUGAACCGGCUAUUGGAUAGGUACUGUGAUCCCGGAACGCUUCAGCUGCCAUGGAAGGGAAAACCGGACAAUCAAUUUCGUGGAAGCUUGGCACCGGUGGUUCAAUAAACGUUGUGUCACCUCCCACCUCAACGCUUGGGAUUUAAUUGAUGAAAUUAAAGAAGCAGAGGAGUCCAAAUCCCGUGAUUUUUAAGCCGCCGAGGCCGGAGAAGAGAUUGAGUGAGAAGAGAUUGGCCGUGGAUCUACAAGGGCCCAGAGAAAACGAAACAGAAAUAUAGCCAGGAACGCUACUCUUCUUCAAAAUGGCGAACUAACAAUUCGGGAGUUGUUGUGACGUGGGGGUCGGUAUAAGUACUUGUGAGCGUCCAUGGGGCUGAGUUGCAGCAGCGACGAGUUUAAUCGCCGAGCCGAAACCGCUUUCAGCCACCUAUCCAACACCAUGCACGUCGUGGACGACCUGUUGCGCUUCGAUCGCUCCUUCCCUGCCCACGUGCAAGGCGUCUGCUCUGUGCUCCAAGCGGCACGCGACGCCGGCUUCACUUUUAAUCCAAAAAAUUCUUCUUUGCUCAGGAGCGCGUGAAAUGGGUCGGCUACAUCAUCCAGCGCGGCGGCAUCGGCGCGGAUCCCGACAAAUUAAAGGCAAUCGCCGAUUUUCCACGGCCACAGGACAUCACCGGACUCCGCUCAUUUUAAGGCCUGGUGGAACAGCCCGCCGGUUUUUCCAGCUCCAUAAGCGGGUUGAAAGAACCGCUCCUCCCACUGCUACGCACGUCCAACCCAUUCAUCUGGACCCCAGACCACGAGGAAGCGUCCCAGGACGUAAAAAAGGCGCCUAUCAGUCCUCACGCAGUUCGACCCGCAGCUGGAAACUAUGCUGCAGACGGACGCGUCAAUCAAAGACGGAUUGGGCAACACCCUGCUGCAACGGCACGGCACAAUCUGGAAGCUCGUCGAAUGCAAUUACCGUUGGUGCACCGAUCCGGAGACACGCUACGCUAUUGUCGAGCUUGAGUUGGCGGCCGUCGAAUGGGCGGAUAAACUACAAUGACUAUCGAGGGGAAAUAAAUCUUAAAAGAUUACCUGAUACCUAAGGAAUGUAGUUAUUUAAUUAAGAAUAGCAACUGAAGACGACUGAAAUGGGAAAAUUAAAAACUAAAACUGAAACGGGCGAAACUCCGUAAGCCGUCAUGCAAGAACUGUUACUGGUUCGUGGCCAAUCGAUUUUUCACAAUUUCAUCGAACUGGCACCUUCGGACGUUAGACUACUCUAUAAUCAGCCGGCCACAACACACAAGGCAAGGGGAGUUUUCUGUUUAACUACCGUUUUCAAGGGGUAGCAAAAUGGGGGGGUAGCCAGUGUUGGGUAGCCAGUGUUGGGGUAGCGAGUGUCGGCCGUAUGGGUAGCCAGUGUGGGGUAGCCAGUGUUGAGGUAGCCAGUGUCGACCCCCCAGGUAGCCAGUGUC